rnacentral:rRNA from 1 species
UACGGGGGGGGCAAGCGUUGUUCGGAAUUACUGGGCGUAAAGGGCUCGUAGGCGGCCAACUAAGUCGGACGUGAAAAUCCCCAGGCUCAACCCUGGGAACUGCGUCCGAUACUGGAUGGCUUGAAUCCGGGAGAGGGAUGCAGAAUUCCAGGUGAUAGCGGUGAAAUGCGUAGAGAUGUGGAGGAAUACCGAUGGCGAAGGCAGCCCCCUGGGAUAACACUGACGCUCAUGCACGAAAAGCGUGGGGAGCAAACAGG